rnacentral:tRNA from 1 species
GUUAAGAUGGCAGAGCAUGGCUAAUGCAGAAGAUCUAAAAUCUUUGUUCCAGAGGUUCAAAUCCUCUUCUUAACU